AACUUUUGCAGCAUAGCAGCUUUGGAGCACAAGGUGUGACAUGUAAGGGGUGUCAUUCUGGAGCCCCAUUAGAGAUGGGGACAAAGCUCUGUCACCAUGAUAUGGGCUGAGGAACCCUUAGAAGCUGGCCGGGCCUAAUCUCACUCAGCAAGCAGUGAAGAAAGCAGGAGGUGUGGGGGCCAUGCAGUGACACCUGGUAGAGAGCAAACUCACCGUCUGUGAGGACCUGGGUUUAUACCCCUCUCUCCCUGCUAAGGUGUCUCUCCUCUUUGUCUCUGUCUCCUUCUACCUCUUUCUCCUUGUCUGUCUCCCUCUAUCUUAAAAAAAAAUGUACAGUGCGAGCAGUAGAAUUAUGCGGGCAGGUCACACGCUUGCCACCUUCGCCGGCAGGUCUAUCAUGGCCCUAGUGGCCACAGGACCGUGGGGAGCACAGCAGCCUAGAGAAGAGUGUCAUUUGGAAAUCCAGUUUUGCUGUAUCCCUCCCACACCACAGUGUGGCCACUGCCACCUAGAUGGAACCUGUUUGCUCUUGUGUCCAGAGGUGUUGGGACCCAAGCACAUGGGAGCGACCUCUGCUCCAAAUUCAGCUGAAGCGGAGCCUGGUGCUCGGUGCCCCUGCCCAUUGUCACCAGUGACCUCAGGCUGUCAGGCUGGACCCAUGUGUGACUCAUCUUCUAAUUUUCCUCAAGUGCAGAACCCAGCCUUUCCUUGUUCUAGCUUAUUUUUAUUUUAUUUUAUUUUACUUAUUUAUUUUUGUCUCCAAGGUUAUUGCUGGGGCUUGGUGCCUGCACUACAAAUUCACUUUCCCUGGAGGCCAUUUCCCCCCACCCCCAUUUUUGUUGCCCUUGAUGUCAUUGUUGGAUAGGACAGAGAGAAAGAAAGACAGAUACCUGCAGACCUGCUUCACCGCUGGUGAAGCGACCCCCCUGCAGGCAGGGAGCUGGGACCCUUACGCUAAUCUUUGUGCUUUGCCCUGUGCACUUAACCCGCUGUGCUGCUGCCUGA